AGCUCAUGAACAGACUGGGCAAAGCCGGAGCCCUCUCUUCACAUGCCUUAGGGCAGUGAUGGGGCAGCCAAAGCUGAGCACUCUAACUGAGGGAUGUAGAUUAGAGGUGAGGACAUAACUCCAAAGAGUAACUCUUUGCUGAAGUGACUUCACAGGGGCUGUGGAUUGGGGAUCAAACCCUGGGCCUUGCAACUACUAGGGAAGUGCUCUAUCUUUCCUGGCAAGCAUCAUUCUACUUUUUGCACUGGAAACAAUUCAAAUGGGAAACCCAGUUUACCUUCCUAAAAUUCAUGGUAUGAUUUAUCAUGAGAUGAGCCUCCUUAAUUGGAAAAAUAUACUGUAGAUGUUUGAAAAAAAUGUUGUUUACCACCUCACCCAACAAAUCUUCUAUUCAACGGAUGUGUACUUGGAAUUCCUAUUCUAAGUGCUAGUGCUACACAGUAUUUGUGCUAUAAAGAGUUGAAGGUUAACAUCCACAAGGAAAAUCAUGUACACCUGGAUCAAAAAGAAGCUACUGGCAUAAGGCAUUUUGGCAUUAGACUAGAUGUACACAUGCUGACAUGUCAAAAUCCUUGAAACAGAAAUUUCAGAACCUCCUCAUGACUG